rfam:Picea glauca, whole genome shotgun sequence.
AAUGUACAUGCCUACAACGUUAAUGCAUCGGAUCCCAGUAGAACUUCGCACUUAAGCAUGCUUGUGCUAGAGUACUAUUGGGAUCGGUGAUCGUCUGAAAAGUCCUAGUGGUUUACAAGU